CUGCGUUUCCUUGACCAAACAUUUUUCAUAUCACCCGCACCAUCUUAUGAGUUCUUGGAAAUAGAUGUUAAGGUCGCAUUUAAUUUAACACUCGACCAAGGCAUUAUACCAGUGUUGGCUGUGUGGAUAACGGACGAGAACGGAACUGGUCAUUGGGAUGUGCUAGAUCAGACAUGUACAUCUGGAGACUAUGAAAUACCUGGCGAUGGUUAUAUCAUUUUCAAGGUGUGUGAAAAACUCCUGUCCGAAAUCAAUCUGCGCAUAAAACGGAGCACACGUAACCAGGUCAACACCCCUUUUCAGUUUGGGGUAUUUCUGAUAAAUGAAACAUAUUCCAACACCGCUCCUGUGUUAGACACGUCUGUACUUACAAUUGUAUGAGGAUACUAGCUUAGAUACAGUACAACUGUUUUGGUCCGACGCAGAGUCAGACAGCGUGACGUUUGAUCUUUCUCCAAGUCAUCAGAACGACUCUAUAAACAUAACCACCGAUGGAAGGCUAAGUUUUACUCCACCACUUCACUAUGCCGAUGUAUUUCAAGUGAGUGUAAUACUGAAAGAAAAUACGUCACAUGCCGAGAAGCUGGACACAUGUUAGUGUUUUAGACAUCGAGGUAGCUAAUGUAAAUGACCCACCGAAUUUAUUAUUCAUACAUCCGGAUGGAUCUGUUAGUGAUUCACGUCAAAUACACAACGAUACUUUCUUUCUUGAAAGUAACCAAACCCAGUACGAUAUUGGAACGUUAGCAGUCUACGACUUUGACGAUAAUGACACAUUCGUGUUUUUUGAAAUGGCCAAACGCAGUGGUCAGAUCACCAACGACACAACUGUGAUCAUUCAGGGGACAACCAACAGUGGUGUAGAAGUUUAUAUAACAGACUCGGAGUAUGUGAAGCAGUCAUCUCAUGCAAGUGUUAAAGCCACGUCUCGUGAUAACCUGACAGGGGAGGUACAUUUUCAUUUUCGCGUUCGUGAUCAAGAUGAAGCGUUUUCUCACGAAUAUGUCGCAGUCGUCUAUUUCCUUUUCAACCCAUGCGUACAUGGUACUUGUGGAACUAUCAACGUAGACGGACCUCCGUGUAAUAGUACGGUUAGAUCGGUGACAUUUGAACCAUACUACUGUGUAUGUGAGAAGGGAUAUGAUGGUAAUUGGUGCCAGGAGGAAAUAAACGAGUGUGAAACUAUCGGCUGCUCUUGGAUGCAUCAUUGCACUGACAAAAUAGGAGCCGUGGAAUGUACUAUGAAUUACGAAAAAAUGGUACCAAUCACAGUUUUAAGUUGUUUGGCCUUCAUAUCUCUUGCUGUCGGUAUUUGGAUUUUUGGAAGAAAAAAAUGCCACAAAUCAGCUUACCAAAAGAAAGUCGAUGUUGAUAACUUCGGAUCUCG